UUUAUGGGGUCUGUGGGGACUGUAUGGGAUUUUAUGGGGUUUUGUGGGGUCUAGAUGGGAUUUUAUGGGGUUUUGGGGUCUGCAUGGGGUCUGGAUGGGGUUUUGGGGUCUGGAUGGGGUCUGGAUGGGAUUUUUUGGGGUUUGUGGGGUCUGUAUGGGAUUUUAUGGGGUCUGGAUGGGAUUUAUUUGGUCUGUGGGGUCUGUAUGGGAUUUUAUGGGAUUUUAUGGGGUCUGUAUGGGAUUUAUGGGGUCUGUAUGGGAUUUUAUGGGGUCUGUAUGGGAUUUAUGGGGUUUGUGGGCUCUGUAUGGGAUUUUAUGGGGUCUGUAUGGGAUUUUAUGGGAUUUUAUGGGGUUUUGGGGUCUGUGGGGUCUGUAUGGGAUUUUAUGGGGUUUGUGGGGUCUGGGUGGGAUAUAUGGGGUUUUAUGGGGGCUGUAUGGGAUUUAUGGGGUUUGUAGGGUCUGUAUGGGAUUUUAUGGGGUUUGUGGGGUCUGUAUGGGAUUUGUGGGGUCUGUAUGGGAUUUUAUGGGAUUUAUGGUGUCUGUGGGGUCUGUAUGGGAUUUUAUGGGAUUUUAUGGGGUUUAUGGGGUCUGGAUUGGAUUUAUGGGGUCUGGAUGGGAUUUUAUGGGGUUUUGGGGUCUGUAUGGGAUUUUAUGGGGUUUGUGGGGUCUGGAUGGGAUUUUAUGGGAUUUUAUGCGGUUUUGGGGUCUGUAUGGGAUUUUAUGGGGUUUGUGGGGUCUGGAUGGGAUUUUUGGGGUUUUGUGGGGUCUGGAUGGGAUUUUAUGGGAUUUAUGGGGUCUGUAUGGGAUUUUAUGGGGUUUUAUGGGGUCUGUGGGGUCUGGAUGGGGUUUGAAUGGGAUUUUAUGGGGUCUGUGGGGUCUGUAUGGGGUUUGUGGGGUUUUGGGGUCUGGAUGGGGUUUGUGGGGUCUGGAUGGGAUUUUGUGGGAUUUAUGGGGUUUUAUGGGGUCUGUAUGGGAUUUAUGGGGUUUUGUGGGGGCUGUAUGGGGUUUUAUAGGGUUUUGGGGUCUGUAUGGGAUUUUAUGGGGUUUUGGAGUCUGUAUGGGAUUUAUGGGGUUUUGUGGGGCCUGUAUAGGAUUUUAUGGGGUUUUGGGGUCUGUAUGGGAUUUAUGGGGUCUGGAUGGGAUUUUAUGGGGUUUUGGGGUCUGGAUGGGAUCUGUAUGGGAUUUUAUGGGGUUUGUGGGGUCUGUAUGGGAUUUAUGGGUUUUUUUAUGGGGUCUGUAUGGGAUUUAUGGGGUUUGUGGGGUCUGUAUGGGAUUUAUGGGGUUUUAUGGGGGCUGUAUGGGAUUUUAUGGGGUCUGUAUGGGAUUUAUGGGGUUUUAUGGGGGGCUGUAUGGGGUUUUGUGGGGUCUGUAUGGGAUUUUAUGGGGUUUUGGGGUCUGUAUGGGAUUUUAUGGGGCUUGGGGGUCUGUGGGGUCUGGAUGGGGUUUGAAUGGGAUUUUAUGGGGUCUGUGGGGUCUGUAUGGGGUUUGUGGGGUCUGGAUGGGAUUUUAUGGGAUUUAUGGGGUCUGUGGGGACUGUAUGGGAUUUUAUGGGGUUUUGUGGGGUCUAGAUGGGAUUUUAUGGGGUCUGUGGGGUCUGUAUGGGGUUUUGGGGUCUGUAUGGGAUUUUAUGGGAUUUAUGGGGUCUGUGGGGUCUAUAUGGGAUUUAUGGGGUUUUAUGGGGUCUGUAUGGGAUUUUAUGGGGUUUUGGGGUCUGUAUGAGAUUUUAUGGGGUCUGUGGGGUCUGGAUGGGAUUUUAUGGGAUUUAUGGGGUCUGUAUGGCAUUUUAUGGGGUUNNNNNNNNNNNNNNNNNNNNNNNNNNNNNNNNNNNNNNNNNNNNNNNNNNNNNNNNNNNNNNUCUGGAUGGGAUUUUAUGGGAUUUAUGGGGUCUGUGGGAUCUGGAUGGGAUUUUAUGGGGGCUGUGGGGUUUGGAUGGGAUUUUAUGGGGUUUUGGGGUCUGUAUGGGGUUUUGGGGUCUGUAUGAGGUUUGUAUGUGAUUUUAUGGGGUUUGUGGGGUCUGGAUGGGAUUUGUGGGGUUUGUAUGGGAUUUAUUGGUCUGUAUGGGGUCUGUAUGGGGUUUAUAGGUUCUGUAUGGGAUUUUAUGGGGUUUUGGCGUCUAUAUGGUGUCUGUGUGGGGUUUGUGGGGUCUGUAUGGGAUUUUAUGGGAUUUAUGGGGUCUGUGGGGUCUGGAUGGGAUUUAUGGGGUUUUGUGGGGUCUAGUUGGGAUUUUAUGGGGUUUGUGGGGUCUGUAUGGGGUUUUGGGGUCUGUAUGGGAUUUUAUGGGAUUUAUGGGGUUUGUGGGGUCUGUAUGGGAUUUUAUGGGGGCUGUGGGGUUUGGAUGGGAUUUUAUGGGGUCUGUGGAGUCUGUAUGGGGUUUUGGGGUCUGUAUGAGGUUUGUAUGUGAUUUUAUGGGGUUUGUGGGGUCUGGAUGGGAUUUGUGGGGUUUGUAUGGGAUUUAUUGGUCUGUAUGGGGUCUGUAUGUGGUUUAUAGGUUCUGUAUGGGAUUUUAUGGGGUUUUGCGGUCUAUAUGGGGUCUGUGUGGGGUUUGUGGUGUCUAUAUGGGAUUUUAUGGGGUUUUGUGGGGUUUUGGGGGUCUGUAUGGGAUUUUAUGGGGUUUGUAGGGUCUGUAUGGGAUUUUCUGGGGUUUUGGGGUCUGUAUGGUGUCUGUACGGGGUUUGUGGGGUUUGUGGGGUCUGUAUGG
ensembl:lncRNA